GGGAGAGUUAGAAGCAAGCCACGUGGGUGACUUCUUUUCAAAGUUCUCUGCCUCAGAGGAGGAAGCCCCAUGGGUGGAGGCCAGGCCCGAGGCCAUCCUGCUCUGGGCCAGAGCGUGCCUGUGUCUGAUGAGCGAGGACAUGCCUCGUCUGGCUGAGCCUUCCAUUUCACACCGGCAGCUCGAACCCCCCAUCACGGCUUCCUUUUGGGCUCCCCUCCUCAGGGGACCGAGCUUGAAAUGUGCUUGCCCUUCAUCCCUAAGGCCUGCGUCCCUUCCUCAGAGAGGACUAAGCCCCUCUCCCAGUCUUGAUGUUCUCCGAGGCCCUUCUUAUUCACAGAACCUAUCUGGCUUAUUUAUUCGCUUGCUUGCUUCUGAUGUCUUCUCUUACUGAAAGGAAUCGAAGGGCCAAGGAAUGUGUUUUUCGUUGAUGUCAACUUGCUGCAAAGGACCACACCUGCUUCUCGACCCAGGAACGUGGGAAAGGGAAAGGCUUGGCUUGUUUUGGUGGAGAUGGAGAUGCUGGUAACAGUGGAGGAAUGCCCUCCUUCUGAUUCACAGUGGGGAGGUGCUCUGGGCCCCUGCCACUGCCCGAGGACUUCAGCUUUUGGUUGUCCUGCUGAGAGGAUGCGGCAUUUGAGCAGUAGCUUCUGGAGCCCAGAGUGAAGCCCCACCCAGGCACCCUGACAGGACCACAGGAAUGCUCCUGGCACAGCAAGCAGGACUCUUGAGAAGCUCAGCCUCCACGCUCCUUGUAGAUGUUCAGUUCAAACUCCACAGUUUGUGUGACUCACUGAAGGGCUUGGUUUGGCUCUCGCUGACGAGUCUGUCAUCGGUGCCAGGAGCUGAGAACAGCCCCCUUCCUAUUUGAGGCUGGCCUGUCCAUGCGCACCCUUGGCCUCACAUCAAUGGAGGAUCACCCAUCCCUUCCUCGUGCUAGAAACCCAAUGGCUGUAUUCCAUAAGCCUGCAGGACUCUUGCUCUUCUCCUUAUUUAACUACACCAGCUUAGGAGUAGCCUACAUGCUCCAUCUUCAUUUCCUUACCCCAUCUACUCCACAGUCUACCAUUCUCUUGCUGAGGUUACUUACCUGGCCUCUUUCCUCUACACUCUUUUCCACACUCACUUGUCCAGGUGCACAUUAAUACCUACACCUGACUAUCCUACAGAUAACUCGAAUUCAAGAUGGUGGGGGAAUAAACUCACCAUCUUACUCUAUA
rnacentral:lncRNA from 1 species